AACGAACGCUGGCGGCAGGCCUAACACAUGCAAGUCGAGCGCCCUUUCGGGGGAGCGGCGGACGGGUGAGUAACGCGUGGGAAUAUGCCCUUCUCUACGGAAUAGCCUCGGGAAACUGAGAGUAAUACCGUAUACGCCCUGUGGGGGAAAGAUUUAUCGGGGAAGGAUUAGCCCGCGUUGGAUUAGGUAGUUGGUGGGGUAAUGGCCGACCAAGCCGACGAUCCAUAGCUGGUUUGAGAGGAUGAUCAGCCACACUGGGACUGAGACACGGCCCAGACUCCUACGGGAGGCAGCAGUGGGGAAUCUUAGACAAUGGGGGCAACCCUGAUCUAGCCAUGCCGCGUGAGUGAUGAAGGCCUUAGGGUUGUAAAGCUCUUUCAGCUGGGAAGAUAAUGACGGUACCAGCAGAAGAAGCCCCGGCUAACUCCGUG
rnacentral:rRNA from 1 species